rnacentral:rRNA from 1 species
GCGACCGGCGCACGGGUGAGUAACACGUAUCCAACCUGCCGUCUACUCUUGGACAGCCUUCUGAAAGGAAGAUUAAUACAAGAUGGCAUCAUGAGUCCGCAUGUUCACAUGAUUAAAGGUAUUCCGGUAGACGAUGGGGAUGCGUUCCAUUAGAUAGUAGGCGGGGUGACGGCCCACCUAGUCUUCGAUGGAUAGGGGUUCUGAGAGGAAGGUCCCCCACAUUGGAACUGAGACACGGUCCAAACUCCUACGGGAGGCAGCAGUGAGGAAUAUUGGUCAAUGGGCGAGAGCCUGAACCAGCCAAGUAGCGUGAAGGAUGACUGCCCUAUGGGUUGUAAACUUCUUUUAUAAAGGAAUAAAGUCGGGUAUGGAUACCCGUUUGCAUGUACUUUAUGAAUAAGGAUCGGCUAACUCCGUGCCAGCAGCCGCGGUAAUACGGAGGAUCCGAGCGUUAUCCGGAUUUAUUGGGUUUAAAGGGAGCGUAGAUGGAUGUUUAAGUCAGUUGUGAAAGUUUGCGGCUCAACCGUAAAAUUGCAGUUGAUACUGGAUAUCUUGAGUGCAGUUGAGGCAGGCGGAAUUCGUGGUGUAGCGGUGAAAUGCUUAGAUAUCACGAAGAACUCCGAUUG